CCCGCACAAGCGGUGGAGCAUGUGGUUUAAUUCGAUGCAACGCGAAGAACCUUACCUGGGCUUGACAUCCCGGGAAUCCCCUGGAAACAGGGGAGUGCCCUUCGGGGAACCCGGUGACAGGUGCUGCAUGGCUGUCGUCAGCUCGUGUCGUGAGAUGUUGGGUUAAGUCCCGCAACGAGCGCAACCCUUGUCUUUAAUUGCCAUCAUUUAGUUGGGCACUUUAAAGAGACUGCCGGUGUUAAGCCGGAGGAAGGUGGGGAUGACGUCAAAUCAUCAUGCCCCUUAUGACCUGGGCUACACACGUGCUACAAUGGUUGGUACAACGAGUUGCGAGUCGGUGACGGCGAGCUAAUCUCUUAAAGCCAAUCUCAGUUCGGAUUGUAGGCUGCAACUCGCCUACAUGAAGUCGGAAUCGCUAGUAAUCGCGGAUCAGCACGCCGCGGUGAAUACGUUCCCGGGCCUU
rnacentral:rRNA from 1 species